AAGAAACCUUUCUCUUUAUAAGAUGAUUAUAUAAGCAUCGUGCUAUCGCAGCAGAAAGCGGGCUCACAGGAGUUGUUAUUUCUCCUUCUGUAGGAGUUAAGAGUAAUAGUGGUUUGUUUCCUACCAGUCUGUCUAUUUUACAGACCCUGCUGAGGUCCUGGGCUAAUUCCUGGAGAUGAAGGGUUUGUUUCCUGGGCUCACUGCUGCAGAUUGUGGCCCGAGUUCUGCCUCCAUGGAUGGCCUGGCUGUUGUCUGCAGCCCUCACAGCCCCACUCUCUAGGCAGAUCAGAAGAUUGAUUGGCCUCUGAUACACGUGCAGGCACUCGGAACAAAAUGAUGUCCAGAGACAGCAGCCACACCAGAAAUAAACAGACUCGUACUCACUCUUGGGCACACUCAGUACCGCUUUCCCACUGCAAGGUAACUUCGGCCAGCAGAAGAGCAGCACAUGCCAUGGGGGCAUACACG